GAGGUGGCCUCUCAAGCAACUGUGAGAACCGGUCAGAGGGACUUGAGACAAGAGAGAGAAAGCAUGUGACCCCUCUCUGUCUCUCUUACUUCCCUCCUCUUCUACAAGGAGCCAGUGAGCCACAACCACACCAAAUAGCAGAAGAACAAGCUCCUCGCCUUGCCUCUUGUUCUCUGCUCUGCCUACCUCUGCUCAUUUCUUUCUUCCACCUUGGGCCUUGGCUAUGGCAUCCAGCGUGUCCCGGUUCAUUAAGUGUGUCACGGUGGGGGACGGCGCCGUGGGGAAGACCUGCAUGCUCAUCUGCUACACCAGCAACAAGUUCCCCACUGAUUACAUACCCACUGUCUUCGAUAACUUCAGCGCAAACGUUGUGGUCGACGGCACCACGGUGAACUUGGGCCUUUGGGACACUGCAGGACAGGAAGAUUACAACAGGUUGAGGCCCCUGAGCUACCGCGGAGCCGAUGUGUUCGUGCUCGCCUUCUCGCUCGUCAGCCGAGCUAGCUACGAGAAUGUUGUUAAGAAGUGGCUACCCGAGCUUCGGCAUUAUGCACCGGGUGUCCCCAUAGUUUUGGCUGGAACUAAAUUGGAUCUUCGUGAAGACAAGCACUACUUACUCGACCAUCCUGGUACAGUACCUGUUACUACGGCACAGGGGGAGGAACUUCGCAAGCACAUCGGAGCAACAUGUUACAUGGAGUGCAGCUCAAAAACUCAGCAGAAUGUCAAAGCUGUGUUUGAUGCUGCCAUCAAGGUAGUAAUAAGGCCUCCGACAAAACAAAGGGAAAGGAAGAAAAAGAAAGCACGGCGGGGAUGUUCAAUAUUUAAGAGUUAAUCUUUUUUACUCUGUUCUGGCGACUCAAAAAUGAGCUUGUGGGCAUUGUCUUAAGCACACAUUGAUUUCUUGUUUUUUUUUCUGGUUUUUCUUUUGCAAACGCCGAAUCAUGCACAAAAGGAGACUAGGAUGCUUCAAGUGAUCGAAGGCCUUAUUCGACAAUCACAUAGGUUUCCAAGGCGAAUCGAGAUCACGUGUAAUUGCAUCCAAGUUUCAAAGUGCUUGUUGCUCUUGCGCACUUGCGCCAGUAAUGUGUAUAUUUACGGCUUUAGCAAUUGACUUCUAGGAGAUAUGUGAAGUAUUUUGUUUGUUUAUGUACCAAUCCAAUGGCUCAUAAUGAGUUAGGAAGUUCAAUACAUCCUGAGAUGUAACGAUAUAUUCUUCCAGUGAGCCUAACUGUUCAUAUUAAUUUAUUCAAAAAACUAUAGCAUGCGUUUCCCUCA